UACGAAGGGGGCUAGCGUUGCUCGGAAUGACUGGGCGUAAAGGGCGCGUAGGCGCGAUCGCAGUCAGAUGUGAAAUUCCUGGGCUUAACCUGGGGGCUGCAUUUGGAUACGUGGUUGCUUGAGUGGGGAAGAGGGUCGUGGAAUUCCCGAGUGUAGAGGUGAAAUUCGUAGAUAUUGGGAAGAACACCGGUGGCGAAGGCGGCGACCUGGUCCUUGACUGACGCUGAGGCGCGAAAGCGUGGGGAGCAAACAGG
rnacentral:rRNA from 1 species